AUUCUUCAUAAGCUUCUUUUAAAUGCAAAUUUAUCCAUACUUCUUUUUCUUUUCUCUUUGCUAUGCUUUCUUAAAUCAGCAUCAAAUCAUCUUCUAAACCUACUUCUUCUAUUAUUCCAUCUAUACUCUCUUUUUUAAAAAUCAAACUCAUAUUUUUAAAUUUUUUUCUCAUGUUUCUUCAUUCUUCUUCUAUCUACUGAAUUCAAAUCUUUAAUUUUUUUGAAAUUCAUAAAUCUACUAUCAUUUAAAUCUAAAAACAUAUUAUUU
rnacentral:lncRNA from 1 species